rnacentral:rRNA from 1 species
UGGGGAAUAUUGCACAAUGGGGGAAACCCUGAUGCAGCGACGCCGCGUGAGUGAAGAAGUAUUUCGGUAUGUAAAGCUCUAUCAGCAGGGAAGAUGAUGACGGUACCUGAGUAAGAAGCCCCGGCUAACUACGUGCC